rnacentral:rRNA from 1 species
CGGUAAUACGGAGGGUGCGAGCGUUAAUCGGAAUUACUGGGCGUAAAGACGCAUGCAGGUGGUUUGUUUAAGUUCAGAUGUGAAAGACCCGGGGCGUCAACCUCCGGAAUUGCAUUUGUAAACUAGGCAGACUAGAGUACUGUAGAGGGGGGUAGGAAUUUCAGGUGUAGCGGUGAAAUAGCGUAGAGAUCUGAAGGAAUACCGGUGGCGAAGGCGGCCCCCUCGGACAGAUACUGACACUCAGAUGCGAAAGCGUGGGGAGCAAACAGGAUUAGAUACCCUGGUAG